UACGUAGGGUGCGAGCGUUGUCCGGAAUUACUGGGCGUAAAGAGCUCGUAGGUGGUUUGUCGCGUUGUUCGUGAAAACUCACAACUCAAUUGUGGGCGUGCGGGCGAUACGGGCAGACUGGAGUACUGCAGGGGGAGACUGGAAUUCCUGGUGUAGCGGUGGAAUGCGCAGAUAUCAGGAGGAACACCGGUGGCGAAGGCGGGGUCUCUGGGGCAGUAACUGACGCUGAGGAGCGAAAAGCGUGGGGGAGCGAACAGG
rnacentral:rRNA from 1 species